AGCACUUGAAACCGUCACGGGGGAAGCGGAUUGCGUGAGUGAUGGUGUCGCUUGUUCAGCGCUUUAUUGCGUGCAUUCUGGCGGCGCCGUGCCGGCGUGGCUGGCUGGACUGUGAUUUUGACAGUCUCGGCUGGUGAGGGCUCCCUCGUAUGAGGUGAGGACGCGGGCAAAAUGACGCAAUACGACCCGUCUUGAAACACGGACCAAGGAGUCUAGCACGGCUGCGAGUCGAAGAGUGAUUAAACUCAAGGGCGCAGUGAAAGCGAAAUUAUAAGCAAAUUGGGGAGGCGUUGCGUUUUUAACAAAAUGUCCUACCUCGAGCAUUUGUGCUGGGACCCGAAAGAUGGUGAACUAUGCCGGAGUAGGGCAAAGCCAGAGGAAACUCUGGUGGAGGCUCGUAGCGAUGCUGACGUGCAAAUCGCUCGUCGAACUUGGGUAUAGGGGCGAAAGACUAAUCGAACCAUCUAGUAGCUGGUUCCCUCCGAAGUUUCUCUCAGGAUAGCGGGCCGACACGCGUUUGUUGUUUUGUGCGGUAAAGCGAAUGAUUAGUGCAUUUGGGGUACGAAGUACUUCGGGCGAUUCUCAAACUUUAAAUGCGCAAGGGGGUGGCUGCUUAAUUGAGCCUACUCUUUGAAAAACGUCGGCCCUGUGGGCCACUUUUGGUAAGCAGAACUGGCGAUAAGGGAUGAACCUUAAGCGCGGUUAAGGCGCCUCAUUACCCGCUUAU
rnacentral:rRNA from 1 species